GUGUCAGCAGCCGCGGUAAUACGUAGGGUGCGAGCGUUAAUCGGAAUUACUGGGCGUAAAGCGUGCGCAGGCGGCUUUGCAAGACAGAGGUGAAAUCCCCGGGCUCAACCUGGGAACUGCCUUUGUGACUGCAAGGCUAGAGUACGGCAGAGGGGGAUGGAAUUCCGCGUGUAGCAGUGAAAUGCGUAGAUAUGCGGAGGAACACCAAUGGCGAAGGCAAUCCCCUGGGCCUGUACUGACGCUCAUGCACGAAAGCGUGGGGAGCAAACAGGAUUAGAUACCCUGGUAGUCC
rnacentral:rRNA from 1 species